AAUAUUCUGCAAUGGGCGAAAGCCUGACAGAGCAAUACCGCGUGAGGGAAUGAAGGCCUACGGGUUGUAAACCUCUUUUUUUAGGGAAGAUCAUAAGACGGUACCUAAAGAAUAAGCAUCAGCUAACCCUGUGCCAGCAGCCGCGGUAAGACAGGGGAUGCAAGUGUUAUCCGGAAUUAUUGGGCGUAAAGCGUCUGUAGGUGGUUUUAAAAGUCUUUUGUUAAAUCUUUAAGCUUAACUUAAAUGCUGCAAAAGAUACUCUAUUACUUGAGUAUAGGAGAGGUAAAGGUAAUUCCCAGUGGAGCGGUGAAAUGCGUAGAUAUUGGGAGGAGCACCAAAGGCGAAGGCACUUUACUGGAAUAUUACUGACACUGAGAGACGAAAGCUAGGGGAGCAAACGGG
rnacentral:rRNA from 1 species